rnacentral:rRNA from 1 species
UACGUAGGCAGCGAGCGUUGUUCGGAGUUACUGGGCGUAAAGAGUGCGUAGGCGGUUUUCUAAGUUUGGUGUGAAAUCUCCCGGCUUAACUGGGAGGGUGCACCGAAAACUGGAAGGCUUGAGUAUGGGAGAGGUAAGCGGAAUUCCUGGUGUAGCGGUGAAAUGCGUAGAUAUCAGGAGGAACACCUGCGGUGUAGACGGCUUACUGGACCAUAACUGACGCUGAGGCACGAAAGCGUGGGUAGCAAACAGG